rnacentral:rRNA from 1 species
GAUAAACGCUGGUGGUGUACAUAAGACAUGCAAGUCGAACGGGAGAAACUAAGAUGGAUUUAUUCAACUUAGCAGACACCGUGGCGGAUGGGUGAGUAACACGUAAGCAACCUGCCUAAAAGAGGGGAAUAACAGAGAGAAAUUUCUGAUAAUACCGCAUAUACCAAAGUAUCGCAUGGUACAAUUGGGAAAGAUUUAUCACUUUUAGAUGGGCUUGCGUCUGAUUAGCUAGUUGGUGAGAUAAUAGCUCACCAAGGCGACGAUCAGUAGCCGGAUUGAGAGGUUGAACGGCCACAUUGGGACUGAGACACGGCCCAGACUCCUACGGGAGGCAGCAGUCGGGAAUAUUGCACAAUGGAGGAAACUCUGAUGCAGUGACACCGCGUAUAGGAAGAAGGCCUUAGGGUUGUAAGCUAUUGUCGCGUGAGAAGAAAAUGACUAUCACAGGAGGAAGUCCUGGCUAAAUAUGUGCCAGCAGCCGCGGUAAUACAUAUGGGGCGAGCGUUAUCCGGAUUUAUUGGGUGUAAAGGGUUCGUAGGCGGGAAAGUAAGUCAGUAUGUGAAAUCCCUCGGCUCAACCGAGGAACUGCGAUUGAAACUAUUUUUCUUGAGUACUGGAGGGGAAAGUGGAAUUCUUAGUGUAGCGGUGAAAUGCGUAGAUAUUAGGAAGAACACCAGUGGCGAAGGCGACUUUCUGGACAGUAACUGACGCUGAGGAACGAAAGUGUGGGGAGCAAACAGGAUUAGAUACCCUGGUAGUCCACACUGUAAACGAUGGAUACUAGGGGUUGGCAUAGAAAAUGUCGGUCCCGCAGUUAACGCAUUAAGUAUCCCACCUGGGGAGUACGACCGCAAGGUUAAAACUCAAAGGAAUUGACGGGGGCCCGCACAAGCAGUGGGGUAUGUGGUUUAAUUCGACGCAACGCGAAGAACCUUACCAGGGCUUGACAUGAUUAGGAAUAUAUAAGAGAUUAUAUAGCUCUACGGAGUCUAAUUACAGGUGGUGCAUGGUUGUCGUCAGCUCGUGUCGUGAGAUGUUGGGUUAAGUCCCUAAACGAGCGCAACCCUUAUCACUAGUUGCUAACAUUAAGUUGAGGACUCUAGUGAGACUGCCGUUAAUUAAAACGGAGGAAGGAGAGGAUGACGUCAAAUCAUCAUGCCCUUUAUGUCCUGGGCUACACACGUACUACAAUGGGUAGGACAAAGGGAAGCAACGGAGUGAUCCUGAGCAAAACCCAAAACCUAUUCACAGUUCGGAUUGAAGGCUGAAAUUCGCCUUCAUGAAGCCGGAAUUGCUAGUAAUGGCAGGUCAGCAUACUGCCGUGAAUACGUUCCCGGGCCU